rnacentral:rRNA from 1 species
UAUUGCUUUUAUUUUUAUUUUAGAAAAGAAUAUAAAUAUUAGUACCUUUUGUAUCAGGGUUGUUUAAUUAAAAAAGAUAGUCUAUAUUUCUCGAUAUUAAGUGAAUUAAAUAGUGAGGCUAAAGUAUUGAAUAACUAUGCCAAUUUAUUUAGUAGUGAAAAUUUUUCGUAGUUAAAGAUAUCUUGUUAUAGUAGGCAUUAAUAGAAGGGAUAAGCUUUUUAUUAUGGUAUAUUGUGUCUUAUUUUAUGAUAAAUUAGGCUUAAAAUUAGCCGUAUUAUUAAUUUGUUUUAAAUUUUUUAUAGGGGGGGGUAUAAUUUAUUAUUUAUUAAUAUAACUAAAAGUGACAAUGAAUUAUAAGGUAUAAUGAAUAAAUUAGUAUUUUUUAUUUUCUGUGGCAUAUAACUCGAUAUUCAUAGAAUAGUUUAUCAAAAACAUUUUUUUAUGGGUAUAAAAUAAAGCCUGCCCAGUGUUAAGAUAAACGGCUGCGGUAUUUUGACUGUGCUAAGGUAGCAUAAUAAUUUGUUUUUUAAUUGAAAACUGGGAUGAAGGGUUUUAUCUAUGAUUAAAUUAGCGGCAGAGUGAAUAAUUUAUGUUUGUAGUUAAAACACUACAAUUUUAUAAAGUGACGAUAAGACCCUAUAAGCUUUAUUUAUAGAGUAAGCAUGGCUAAUAAUUUAAGGUUCUUUUACUCACCGAAUUUUGCUGGGGCAGUAAUGUUAUCUAAUUUAAUAUAAGUUAACACAUAUAUGUGAAUUUAUGGUCUUUCUAUGAAGAUAAGUAGUAAAAGUUACUGUAGGGAUAACAGCGCAAUGAUUUUGGAGAGGCCUUAUUGAUAGAAUUGAUUGCGACCUCGAUGUUGAAUUAAAAUUUCUUUUUGCUGCAGGAGGUAUAGAAGAGGGUUUGUUCAACCUUUAAAAUUUUACAUGAUUUGAGUUCAAAUCGGUUUAAGCCAGAUUGGUUUCUAUCUUUUAUAUAACAUAAUUUAUGUAAGUACGAAAGGGACACAUAGGUUUU